GACGAACGCUGGCGGCGUGCUUAACACAUGCAAGUCGAGCGGUAAGGCCCUUUCGGGGGUACACGAGCGGCGAACGGGUGAGUAACACGUGGGUGACCUGCCUUUAGCUCUGGGAUAAGCCUGGGAAACUGGGUCUAAUACCGGAUAUGACCCUAUGGCGCAUGUUGUGGGGUGGAAAGCCUUGUGCGGCUAGGGAUGGGCCCGCGGCCUAUCAGCUUGUUGGUGGGGUGAUGGCCUACCAAGGCGACGACGGGUAGCCGGCCUGAGAGGGCGACCGGCCACACUGGGACUGAGACACGGCCCAGACUCCUACGGGAGGCAGCAGUGGGGAAUCUUGCGCAAUGGGCGAAAGCCUGACGCAGCGACGCCGCGUGAGGGAUGACGG
rnacentral:rRNA from 1 species